rnacentral:rRNA from 1 species
ACUCCUACGGGAGGCAGCAGUGGGAAUAUUGGACAUGGGGGAACCUGAUCCAGCCAUGCCGCGUGUGUGAAGAAGGCCUUUUGGUUGUAAAGGCACUUUAAGCGAGGAGGAGGCUUACCUGGUUAAUACCCGGGAUAAGUGGACGUUACUCGCAGAAUAAGCACCGGCUAACUCUGUGCCAGCAGCCGCGGUAAUACAGAGGGUGCAAGCGUUAAUCGGAUUUACUGGGCGUAAAGCGCGCGUAGGUGGCUAAUUAAGUCAAAUGUGAAAUCCCCGAGCUUAACUUGGGAAUUGCAUUCGAUACUGGUUAGCUAGAGUAUGGGAGAGGAUGGUAGAAUUCCAGGUGUAGCGGUGAAAUGCGUAGAGAUCUGAAGGAAUACCGGUGGCGAAGGCGGCCCCCUGGACAGAUACUGACACUCAGAUGCGAAAGCGUGGGGAGCAAACAGGAUUAGAUACCCUGGUAG